ACGCGCAGGCUCAGAACGACAGCGUGCCCUCCCACGGUUGGCCAAGGGACGGAAGCGGAUUCCCAACGCUUGAAAACGAGGCCCGGCGGGAUUCUUUGGUUAAGUGUCCUGCUUGGAGAACUCUUCCGUAACCGAAACCGGAAGCGGGUCUCUAAGGGAGGGUUGAAGAACAGUGACUGCCGGGUGGGAACAUUUGAGGACAGGAUGAGAGAAGAGAAGGUUGUUCCCUCACCCUUAGGAGUUUUCUCUGACAGAAAAAGUUAACAAACACUGAAAUGCAGGACCAUUUCUGAAUAACUUAGAGAUGCAACUCUUCUGAUGAUCACUUCCAUGAGGAAACUUAAGGUUUUAUUCAAGCAUGUGCAGGAGUUUUAAGUGAACAAAGUCGGAAAGGCCCACAACUACUGCCAACUUCUUCAAAUACAAGAAAGGAAGAACUAUUUCUAUAGCAGAACAUCACCCAAUGAAAGGAGAGUCCUACUUCCCUAACUUCAUGUUACUAGUCCUGUGGCAGAACCAUUAAACAGGAAGAAAUCAAGGAGAAAGGAAAGAAGUAUUUGUAUAGUACCACAUUUUAAAAAUAUCUUAUUUUUCCUUUGGUUCUCAGACUACACCUCUCUAGGUUAUAAAAGAAAAAAUAAUCUUUAAAAAAUAUGUAAUCAAAAAAGAAAAGGUAUCUGAAGAAGAAAAGAAGCUUUAUCUACAUCAAAAAGUUGGGAGGAUGGAAUAAUUUCACAAGAGAAGUGAAAUAAGGCCACCUGAACACCAGAACUGAAGAACCCAAUAAGGGUACCUCAUGAAGACACUUGAAAAGGAUCCACACUGUGAAAAGAAGGCAGCCACCUCUCCCAAAUAACAAUAAUGUGGAGCCAUAAGUGCUAUCCGCUAAGAGAACUGUCUAGUAAAUAUCAGAGGAAGAAGAAAUAAAUUGCAUGGGUAAUUUCCUGCUGACAGAGAAUAAAGCCAUGCUAUUUGUUGACCCGAUAACAAUGAAGAAGAAAGCAAUCAUCUUCCUCAAGGACUUGUCACAGCCAAUAAUACCCAUUUCAAGUAAUUGACUUGAACAUAAAUGCUGCAACAAGGAGAGGGGGCAAGCCAUCCUCAUCAUUAUGUAUAAGGUUGAUAUCUUUCCUAACACAUUUAUCAAUACCACACAGCAAUCUAUAAUCU